rnacentral:rRNA from 1 species
AUUGAACGCUGGCGGUAUGCUUAACACAUGCAAGUCGAACGGCAGCAUGGUCUAGCUUGCUAGACUGAUGGCGAGUGGCGGACGGGUGAGCAACGCGUAGGAAUAUGCCUUGAAGAGUGGGACAACUUGGGGAAACUCAAGCUAAUACCGCAUGUACUCGAGAGAGUAAAGCUGGGGACCUUUAGGCCUGGCGCUUUAAGAUUAGCUUGCGUCCGAUUAGCUAGUUGGUAGGGUAAAGGCCUACCAAGGCGACGAUCGGUAGCUGGUCUGAGAGGAUGAGCAGCCACACUGGAACUGAGAGACGGUCCAGACACCUACGGGAGGCAGCAGUGGGGAAUAUUGGACAAUGGGGGGAACCCUGAUCCAGCAAUGCCGCGUGUGUGAAGAAGGCCUGAGGGUUGUAAAGCACUUUCAGUGGGGAGGAGGUUUGGAAGGUUAAGAGCUAUUCAAAUGGACGUUACCCACAGAAGAAGCACCGGCUAACUCCGUGCCAGCCGCCGCGGUAA